UGGCGUAGCUGGGCUGCGCCGGAGUGCGCCAGAGUGCGCCGGACGCGGAAUGUUGAUUCGUCUUUCCUCAGUUCCGCCUCAGAGUGAGGAUCCUUUGGGUUUAUCUGUUGGGUCAGGUGCUACCCGGCUUUUCCUGAGGUUCUCAGGAAAGUAAUGUGUUACUGAUCAGCUGCCCAAGUGGCACCCUUUCUUCACAGGUGGAAUGAAGUGGUGCCAAUUAACCUGCCAGUGGAAGAGCAAAAUUCCUAUAACUGAGACAAAACCUUGGUGUGUUCACCGAGCUGCCUCUCCCACGCAGCCCCCUUGCUUCGGGGGAGCAAGCUCACCCUCAGCUUCCAGUGAGGGUCUGGUCGGUCUGAGGCUGAAUCCAUGAUCAUGAUUCAGGAAGGGACAUGUAACCCAGUUCUGGCCACUGAGAUGCAAGAAGAGUGCUGAAGGCUUCUGGAAGGGUUUGCCUCACUCUUGUGGGAAGCAUUACUCUCUCUACUGCUGUUGCCCCAGCGUUCCUGGCAGUCAUCCUAUAGUCUCCUCGUCUCCCUUCUCCCCCUUCCCCAAAGACAACGAGCCUCGGGAUGAAGCCAUAAUAAAACCUGGGUCCUUGAUGCUGUAUUGAAUAAACCUGAGCUGACCUAACUUUGGCCUUCCAAUUAUACAUGCUAAUAAAUGCCUAAUUGUUUAAGGCAGUUCUGUCACUUGUGGCUGAAAGCAUCCUCCCAGAUACUCCUGUGUUUAUUCCUUCUUUCCCAGCAUCACCUGGCACAGUGCCCUCUUUAGUAAAUGCUCAGUGAGCAUCUGUUGAAUGAAUGAAUUCCUAUUCUUUGAGUGUCUGUAUAUGUUGAAUACUACUCUAGGUGCUGAACAAAGUUUAGUAACUAAACAAAGAAGUC